CCUACGGGAGGCAGCAGUGAGGAAUAUUGGUCAAUGGACGCAAGUCUGAACCAGCCAUGCCGCGUGCAGGAAGAAGGCUCUAUGAGUUGUAAACUGCUUUUGUACGAGGGUAAACGCAGAUACGCGUAUCUGCCUGAAAGUACCGUACGAAUAAGGAUCGGCUAACUCCGUGCCAGCAGCCGCGGUAAUACGGGGGAUUCAAGCGUUAUCCGGAUUUAUUGGGUUUAAAGGGUGCGCAGGCGGAUUUUUAAGUCAGCGGUCAAAUCGUGGGGCUCAACCCCAUCCAGCCGUUGAAACUGGGGGUCUAGAGUGUGGGAGAGGGAUGCGGAAUGCGUGGUGUAGCGGUGAAAUGCGUAGAUAUCACGCAGAACCCCGAUGGCGAAGGCAGCAUACCGGUGCACAACUGACGCUCAGGCACGAAAGCGUGGGUAUCGAACAGGAUUAGAUACCCCUGUAGUC
rnacentral:rRNA from 1 species